UGAUGACCUGGGGCUGGGUGGGCCUCUGAGA
rnacentral:piRNA from 1 species